UGAAAUAAGCCGUAGCCGAUCGGUACAGUCGUGUCUCGAGCCUUAAAGCAAUUAGUUGCCGCGUCGAACGGUACAAGCACAGACAGAAAGGAGAACGAGCAGAUAGAAGACGGUCAGAUCCGACGAGAAGAAAAAUUCGACUAGAGACAUUCCUCGGAUUUAUUAGCGCCAUAAGGGACGCUUGUGCAACGGAGGCGGAGAUACUUGGUGAAAUUUCUGCUGCUUCUUUUCUUCUUUCGCGUACCUUCUCCGCGCGAUGUUACUUGUCAGACAAUGGCGCGAUCGAAACGACCACGCUUGCCUGAGAAGCCAUUAACCUUUGAACCUGCGAAGAUAUAUUAUCCGAAACGUCGAUAAUUUGGAAAGUCGUGCGGUGAAACGCUGCCUUUUCGCUGGAGUCGCAUGUUCUCCCGAUACGCUUGCAUUUCUUUCGCGCACGGAACCUCGAACGAACGAACGAGAAGCGAGGUGAAGCGCGAGGUACGAGCGGAAGCGCAAUAACGAAGCAACCUGUUUCCGAUCGCGGCGGCUGCAACUUGCAGCCCGAAGCAAUUAGCCUGUGCCGCCGUGGCAAAAGCGGACAAGGGAAAAAAGCAAGAGAAGAAGGAAGUCGUUGCCGAGAAAAACGUCGAUCGCCGAUCGAAAGGCAGGAUUGACGCGACAAUGAAAAUCACAUAUAUCGAGGCAACGAAAUUCAACGAAAUUUCCAGCUCGAACCACUCGCAGCUGUUCUCGGGGUGGCGGUGGCGGUGUCGGCGCUACCGGGGCAACGGCUCGACUUUUUUCCAAUUAAUAACGGGCAGGAAACGUCGGCCAAGUAACUAGUUUUCCGCUUCGCUCGUAAUACGCUCGCGAAAGAUUCGGCUUCAUUCACACCGAACCGCUCCGCGUGUUCCUACCAAAAGCAACGACCAAGAAAUCUGCUAAAAAACACGACUGUCUUUUUUUUUUUGCCCAUUUAACAAUUCGAACGAAUCGUUAUCGUUCCGUCGUACUUCCACAUUCUCUGCGAGUUCUCUCGCUCGGAUUUUUCCGAGACUUGGCGGAAUUUUAAUAUUCCUUCGUUUCACCGAAAAUGCAUUAUACCAGCAUUUUCCCUUUCUUUCUCCUCUCCCUCACUCCCUUCCUCCCUCCCUCUCUCUCGCCGUCUCACUCUCUCGACGGAAGUUGAUUCAGUUUCAGAGCAAAUAUCACUUAACGAACAAAAAUAUACGUUGAAGAUUUUUAUAAUCAUUAGAUGGUAUCCAUUUCCUCGGUCGUUCGCCAGACCACGGCUAUCAUAUUUAGAACAACUCUGAUGUUUCUCGUGAAAGCUCCGAGAUUCGCUUCUCCGUGUUAUUUUAACAUUUCUGAAUGUCUUUGUUGGAAGUUGGAACAUCGAUCCGUGUUUGUCGUUGGAAAAUUCUCCAUUUAUCAGUUAAUCAAAACACAUGGUAUACGGAGGACACGGAUACCGUGCGUCCAUAAAAAUAGUAAAGAAAUAUUUGGAAAAAAAAUACGUCGAAGCCCAUGACUCUGUUAAUUAACAUCCGAAACGUGCGACGAUGUACAUAAAUCUGUCGGAUGUUGGCUCGCGACGGUAGUAGUAGCUGGUAACUGUUUCGAGCGGCGAAAGAGUCGGUGAAAAUUCCGACCGACGACACCAUGGAAACGCGUCUAUUUGACAGAGAGAA